AACUAAUUACUACACUAACCAAGAACCCUUAAACUAUAUUGAGUAAUUCUAUACAAAUAUAGAAGAUUUUAUGUUAAAACUAGUAACAAGAAGAAGAACUUCUCCUACAAUGCAAAUGUAAAUCAGACAGGACAUCCCACUGAUAAUUAACACCCAUGAAUAAAAAGUAGUAACCCAACAAGAAAACCCUACUACAAACCAUACGUUAACCUAACACCAGAACAUUUCAGGAAAGAUUAAAAGAAAAAGAAGGAACUCGGCAAAUAUUAACCUCGCCUGUUUACCAAAAACACCGCCUCUUGAAUUACUAUAAGAGGUCCAGCCUGCCCAGUGACCCUGUUCAACGGCCGCGGUAUCCUAACCGUGCGAAGGUAGCGUAAUCACUUGUUCUUUAAAUAAGGACUAGUAUGAACGGCACCACGAGGGUUAUACUGUCUCCUCUUUCUAAUCAGUGAAACUAAUCUCCCCGUGAAGAAGCGGGAAUAAGUAUAUAAGACGAGAAGACCCUAUGGAGCUUCAAACUACAAAGCACUUGCCCCAUAUAACUAAAUUUCAGAAAAAUACCACUACCCAAGCAAGAUGACCCCCUAGUUUUAGGUUGGGGUGACCGCGGAGCAAAAAAAAACCUCCACAUUGAAAGGAACCAACUCCUUAGCUAAGAGCCACACCUCUACGCACCAACAAAAUGACAUUAAUUGACCCAAUAUUUUGAUCAACGAACCAAGUUACCCUAGGGAUAACAGCGCAAUCCACUUCGAGAGCCCCUAUCGACAAGUGGGUUUACGACCUCGAUGUUGGAUCAGGGUAUCCCGGUGGUGCAGCCGCUACCAAAGGUUCGUUUGUU
rnacentral:rRNA from 1 species